CCGAACUGUCAAACACGGGUUGUUGCUGGUCCUCGGAAGGGGGCAUGUGCACGCUCUGUUUACACAUCCACUUCACACCUGUGCACCCUCUGUAGUUCUAUGGUCUGGGGGCCUCGUCCUCCGUCCGUGGCUCUACGUUUUUACACACACACCGUAUGAUGUCUUGUGGAAUGCUUUCUGCGUUUAACGCGAUAAAAUA
rnacentral:misc_RNA from 1 species